AUGAAAUUUGAUAUAAAUUGGGACAAUAACAACCCAAUGCUGGAGUCGCUGUUCUUAUCUUACAGAUAUGGAAAUGGAAGUUCAGAGGAAGUAAAAAUCAUAUGCAAGAUCAGUCAGCUCCAAAGUGGUAGAGAGAAGAUUCAGAUCCAGAUCUGUCUUUCUCCGAAGCUCAACCCUGUCCAGCAUAUAUUAUGUUCAGUGAUGUAUUCCACAGGUCCAAUCUUGAUUCAAGAUCUAUAUCCAAAUAUAUAAAAGAAUCCCAAAUGAUCCUGAUGCAGGAGGUUAGUGAACCCCACUUUGGUAAGAUAUUCUCCAUAAAAGGGAUUAUACUGUUGAAUGUUUUGGAAACACUGUAUCAAAAAAAUUAAGCACAUUUCUUUCUCAAUUUAUAGUAUUACAAAUGUUUGAGAGGAGGGCACAUGGUAUUUUCUGAACUUUUUUUUAACCGUAUCUAUUAAUCACUUGAGGGACACUACUGCACUUUCUCACAGUUUGAAAAGCGCAGGGUUGAGUUUUGUCUGCAACAAAAGGGGUAAUAUUAUCAGCUGUACUGGUUAGAACACACCUGUCGUGGUGCUAUUAUACACUUUAAGGCAGUUGCUGAAAAAAGAAGAGCAGGUUGAAAGAAGAGCAAAUAGGAUACUUAGCUGUUUGCUAAUCAUAUCACCUGAACAAUGGUUGAAAGAGACUUAAGAGACUCCUAGACUAAAAUGGAAGCUCAAAUAUGCGUAUCUAAAGUCACCUCCUUGUCAAGACCCCACCAAAGCUGUGGGGAGGAGAGGCAAAGAACUGGGAGGUAAAGAGGGAAGACAACAAUUAUAUUUGGAAGCAGGAAAGCAUAUAGAAAAUAGUAACUGAGCUAGCAAACCAAACAGCUGAAUCCAAAACCAGAGUGAUUACCUCUCACAGAUUCCUCAGAAUGCUCAGGAUGGACAGCUGCAGUUACCCUUGUCACAGGGCAUAGUGGUAGGAACAAAAAUAGAAUUGGGUAAAAACCAUUGACAGAGCAGUCAGAUUUCUAGCUCUUCUAAAAUCUGUGCCAUUGGCAAACUGACCCUCCCCAAGCUCACAGAGGACUAGAUGUUUAUUCUCUGAAGAGGGUGAAACAGAAGAACUUUGAAUUGGGGGUUGGCUGGUGCAAAUGUUGGUGUAAUUGAAGAUGGAGUGUCCUGCUGAAAACAAAGAGGUAACCAAGCUCUAUACAUAUCAAUGCUGAAUGCUGAGUUCCCCAGUCCUUUCCCCUCCAGGCCCAGCAAGUCUCCUAGGAUACAAAUGCCGUAAGCAAGAAAUUCAAAGAAUAUAUGUUAAGGAAUCUUAUUAUCUCCAAAGGAAAGACUAAAACCAAGGCUCCUCUGCAAAGAGCCAACCAGGUCACUCUACAGGGAAGCUCAACAUCAACACACCCCACUCACAACUGGAUGCAACAAGAUCCCCAGUUUGCAGGCAGUUCCAGCACCUUGCUUCUCCCCAUUUAGGCAGUAUUUAUUUCUCCUCCUCGUUAGACUGGAUGAGAUUUUGUGACUACCUCAAUAAAUGAAAUGUGUUGCAUGAUUUUGUAGGCGAG
ensembl:lncRNA